CAACUACUCCCUUUGUUCCAAAUUUCUUGUCUUAGAUUUGUCUAGAUAUAGAUGUAUCUAAUACUAAAAUGUGACUUGAUACAUCCGUAUCUAGAAAAAUCUAAGACAAGAAUUUUGGGACGAAGGGAGUACUUU
rnacentral:pre_miRNA from 1 species